rnacentral:misc_RNA from 1 species
GAAAUGCGAUAAGUAAUGUGAAUUGCAGAAUUCCGCGAAUCAUCGAAUCUUUGAACGCACAUUGCGCCUCUUGGUAUUCCAGGAGGCAUGCCUGUCCGAGCGUCAUUGCAACCCCUCAAGCUCGGCUUGUGUGUUGAGCCUUUGCGUCCCCCCCGGUGGACAGGCUCGAAAGGCAGUGGCGGCGUCGAGGUCCGGUGCCUGAGCGUGUGGGACGUUUGUAAACCGCUCCGGAGGCCCGGCCGACGUUGAUCUUUUUAACUAUUCUCGUGGUUGACCUCGGAUCAGGUAGGGAUACCCGCUGAACUUAAGC